rnacentral:rRNA from 1 species
UACGGAGGGUGCAAGCGUUAUCCGGAUUUACUGGGUUUAAAGGGUGCGCAGGCGGAUAUGUAAGUCAGUGGUGAAAUCUCUAGGCUUAACCUGGAAAUUGCCGUUGAUACUAUAUAUCUUGAAUGCUGUGGAGGUAAGCGGAAUAUGUCAUGUAGCGGUGAAAUGCUUAGAUAUGACAUAGAACACCUAUUACGAAGGCAGCUUACUACGCAGAUAUUGACGCUCAUGCACGAAAGCGUGGGGAGCGAACGGG